rnacentral:rRNA from 1 species
UACGUAGGGGGCAAGCGUUGUCCGGAAUUACUGGGCGUAAAGCGCGUGUAGGCGGCCCAGCAAGUCGGAUGUGAAAGCCCUGGGCUUAACCUAGGAAGUGCAUUCGAAACUGCUGGGCUUGAGCUCUGGAGAGGAAGGCGGAAUUCUCGGUGUAGAGGUGAAAUUCGUAGAUAUCGAGAGGAACACCGGUGGCGAAGGCGGCCUUCUGGACAGUAUCUGACGCUGAGACGCGAAAGCGUGGGGAGCAAACAGG